UCCGGGGUCGUUCAAUGGCAGGACAACGGCCUUUGGAGCCGUCGAUCUUGGUUCGAGUCCAAGCCCCGGAGCCA
rnacentral:tRNA from 1 species